GACGAACGCUGGCGGCGUGCCUAAUACAUGCAAGUCGAACGCAGUGGGGACGGGUGAGUAACACGUGGGUAACCUCCCAUCAGAUGGGAUAACACUUGGAAACAGGUGCUAAACCGAUACUGAUGGAUGGACCCGCGGUGCAUUAGCUAGUUGGUGAGGUAACGGCUCACCAAGGCCACGAUGCAUUGCCAACCUGAUAGGGUGGUACGCCGCACUGUGACUGAGACACGGCCCAGACCCCUACGGGAGGCAGCAGUAGGGAAUCUUCGGCAAUGGACGAAAGUCUGACAGAGCAAAGCCGCGUGAGUGAAGAAGGUUUUCGGAUCGUAAAACUCUGUUGUUAGAGAAGCGGUAUCUAACCAGAAAGCCACGGCUAGCGACGUGCCAGACACCGCGGUAAUUC
rnacentral:rRNA from 1 species